rnacentral:rRNA from 1 species
CGUGUAGGCGGCCAGGUAGGUCCGCUGUGAAAACUCGAGGCUCAACCUCGAGACGUCGGCGGAAACCAUCUGGCUAGAGUCCGGAAGAGGAGAGUGGAAUUCCUGGUGUAGCGGUGAAAUGCGCAGAUAUCAGGAAGAACACCCGUGGCGAAGGCGGCUCUCUGGGACGGUACUGACGCUGAGACGCGAAAGCGUGGGGAGCGAACA